CACUUCCAAUCUAUUCAGAACAACCCUCUUCCUCCAGCAGAGUGUCACCUCCUCCUUUAGGAUCACCAAGCUCUGCUAACUGGAUUUCACCCUGCCUGCAGGAUCACAUUGCCAGGUUUUCACUCUUCCCCACUUUGCCUGGGAGUAAAAUCUCUUCUGCGGAUUCUCAGAAAAACCAAAUCCCAUCCUAAGAGUAUUUCAUUAAGAAUCUCCAUAAGCAUUGUGCUGGUCAUGACCCCUGGAUUUAAGAAAUUCUUCAAGACAAUGUCGAAUAUAAUCCAAAAGAAAAUGUGAUUUGAGUCUGGAGACAUUUGUGCAUUUUUCUUAAGAUCGACUAAUAAUAAUUUUAAAAAAUCCCAGUAUACUAAUAGACAAGGAAGCAUUAUUCAGAAGACAAUUAUAAUUAAAAAGAAAAGCUUCUUCUAGUGUAUAUUAUACUGCAUAUUGGAUUUAAUAAUGGAAAAGAGAUAUGUCCUGUAUUUUCUGUUUCUCUUACCUUUUUCUAAGAAUCUUGUCAUAGCAGAACCAGAAGAAGAGAACCCUGAUGACUUAAAUCAGCUGGGUACUACUAGAAAUAAAAUCAUGACUGCUCAAUAUGAAUGUUAUCAAAAGAUUAUGCAAGACCCCAUUCAACAAACUGGAGGCCUGUACUGCAACAGGACCUGGGAUGGAUGGUUGUGCUGGAAUGAUGUUGCUGCAGGAACGGAGUCAAUGCAGCACUGUCCUGACUACUUUCAGGAUUUUGACCCAUCGGAAAAAGUUACCAAGAUCUGUGACCAAGAUGGAAACUGGUUUAGACAUCCAGCAAGCAACAGAAUAUGGACAAAUUAUACCCAAUGUAAUGUUAACACACGUGAGAAAGUACAAACUGCACUGAACUUGUUUUACCUGACUGUGAUUGGACAUGGACUAUCUAUUGCAUCGCUGCUACUCUCACUUGGCAUUUUCUUUUAUUUCAAGAGCCUAAAUUGCCAAAGGAUCACCUUGCACAAAAACCUGUUCUUCUCAUUUGUUUGUAACUCUAUUGUGACAGUUAUUUAUCUCUCUGCAGUAGCAAACAACCAGCCCUUAGUGGCCACAAAUCCUGUUAGUUGUAAAGUGUCACAGUUCUUUCAUCUUUAUCUGAUGGGCUGUAACUAUUUUUGGAUGCUUUGCGAAGGCAUUUACCUGCACACACUCAUUGUGGUAGCUGUGUUUGCUGAGAAACAGCACUUGAUGUGGUAUUAUUUUCUUGGCUGGGGAUUCCCACUGAUUCCUGCUUGUAUGCAUGCUGUUGCCAGAACUUUGUAUUACAAUGACAACUGCUGGAUCAGUUCUGACACCCACCUCCUCUACAUUAUUCACGGUCCAAUUUGUGCAGCUCUGUUGGUGAAUCUAUUUUUCCUGCUAAAUAUUGUCCGUGUUCUCAUCACCAAGUUAAAAGUUACUCACCAAGCAGAAUCCAAUCUCUACAUGAAAGCUGUAAGAGCUACGCUUAUCCUGGUGCCAUUACUUGGCAUUGAAUUUGUACUGAUCCCCUGGAGACCUGAAGGAAAGAUUGCAGAAGAAGUUUAUGACUAUAUCAUGCAUAUCCUUAUGCACUACCAGGGCCUUUUGGUUUCUACAAUUUUCUGCUUCUUUAACGGAGAGGUUCAAGCAAUUCUAAGAAGAAACUGGAAUCAAUAUAAAGUUCAAUUUAGAAACAGCUUUUCGCACUCAGAUGCCCUUCGCAGUGCGUCAUACACAGUGUCGACAACCAGCGAUGGUACAGCGUACAGUCACGACUGCCCGAGUCAGCAAUUAAAUGGGAAAAGCAUCCACGAUAUUGAAAAUGUGGUUUUCAGACAAGAAAAGCUAUACGAUUGACAACACAGGGAAUAUUACAUGAUUUUUAUGCCACCUCCUGACUCGUGGACUUGGUUCCAAGAUUUUACAAACAGAAGAUUUCAGUAUCAAGUGACGUUCUUGAACGCUGCACAAAAGCUACUGUAUGAAUUUCGUAAUAUGGAUAAAUGGCUAUAACAACUUGGUGGUCAAGAACGGGUACAGGGCCAAGGGGUGGGGGGGCGUGCUACUUUGUAAGGUUAGCCAAAUUAUAUGGUGUGGCUACUUCCACUGAUUUCAAACUACCAACUUGACAUCAUUGAAUGUGCAGUUGGAAAAACAGCAUAAUCAACACCUAUCAACUAACUGGAGUUCCAACACCACUACAUGAACUUACAGAUAAAUAAUCCUAUAAAAGUUCAUAUAAACUGGACAAGUUUCUUAUUGCCUAAAGAUAGAUGAUAAAAAUUGACUUGGAGAAGAAAUGAUGGUUCUAUUACUUGGUGGUUAAAAUCUUUGCUCCAUAUCUAUUGGUUCAAACAUUUAUCCCUGAAAAAUAUAUUUUGAUUUUUUUAAUUUACCCUUGCAAAUGGACCAGAUAAAAGAUAAUUAUUCUUGUUGACAUUUCCUCCUAUACACAACAGCGGAGCAGAAUCGCUAUUCACUACUUAUUUGCUGAUAUAUCACAGUUGUACUCAGUGUCAGACCUAUUCUUGUGACUUUAUAACUAGUAUUAUGAUAAACAAUACGACUCUAAUAUUAUUAGAGAAACGUCAUGAUUGAUACCACAAAAUGCCUUCCUAGUAACUGCCCUAUUUUGUUACAUAAGAUCACUUGUCUGUAUUUGUAAAUAGUAACUUUGCCCCUUCCAUUUCUACUGUGUAGACAAGCAGCUAUUUUACUGGAAGGAACUCAAUGAAGGACUUCUUAUUUUCUUGGAAGCAUGUAAAAAAGUUGUGAAAAGUGAGCUUGUAAAUACUUUGUUAGUUUGUUUUGUAGUCCCAGUUCAAAUGCAUAUAUCCUAGUUGAUUAAAAAUAUGCAAUGUAAUAAUCUACACUUAAUAUCUGAUACUGUGUCUGAGCUAAUUUUAUAAGAAAAUAGAAUCUGGAAUUCUAUAUGUGCUAAAUAUUUUAAGACAACCAGAUGUCAGCAUCAGAAAUGUGAGUGGCAAGAAACAGAAAUAUCUAUAUACAAUAUUUAUUGAAAAAUCUCAGAGACCACUGUUUUAUGGAAUAAGCUAGGUCUGUGAUUCAUACCUUAAGAUCAGGUAUAUUUGACACACUUCUCCCUUUAUUCUGACGAUGAAUCUGAAUUCUAAUCCAGAAAAUUGUGAUAAGGUUACUGUGAUAAAUAGAAUCUUCUACUCUUAACAUUUUUACUCCAUUUAAAAUAUUACUUUACUGCCUUUUAUUAUAUGAAGAGACAUAACCUGGGAAAUAUUCCAGUCUAUUAAGAAAUAGAUAAAUGCUAUCUAUAUCAUAUGGAAUGCUUUAAUAUCUUAAUAGAAUGACUUCAUGUAUUCAUACAAAUCAGCAAAAGACUUGAACAUUUCAUCACUGAGGAUGUCAGAACAUUUAUGCAAUAAAUGAAGGUCAAAGAUUGUCUUUCUGUUGGAUUUAAGUGACAUCUAAAUGAGAUUUGAGGUUUUCAUGUUGUUUUCCACUGAAAUUUCUGAAGACAAAAGAAAAAAUGCCUCUGAUUAUUAAAAGGAUAUUUUUGGGAGAAAUCAUUAUGUGUAUGUGUUUUGCAGUGUGUCAAUCUGCUUAAAUUAAGCAGAAUAACAACUUAGUUCUCAAUUGUCUUUUCAUUAAUUCUCAGUAGGUAAGUUCAAAAUUAAUUUGAUACUCUAGGGAUAAUAUCCAAAUUAAUAUGAAUUAACAAACACAAAACAUCCUGGUUAAUACAUCUGCUACUUGUAACUUUCCUAUAUGCCUGUAAAGACUUUAUUACGUUGAUUUCAAAUUUAUGGAUUUCAUAGCAGAUAAAUUAAUAAAAAGGAAUGCAGGCUAUUAUAAAAUUCUGACUGUUGAAAUUCUACCAAAAAAUUCCUUUAGAUAAACUCACUUUUUAGUUAUCCAGAAACAUAGCUUCAAUUCCUUUGCUGAUGCUAUUUACAAAUGUUCCAGACAAACUGUCAAGUGUCAACUAUAAAUGACAGUAAAAAUAUCAAAUACUUAGCAUGGUGUAUGCGUAUUUUUAUUAUGCUUUUAUACUAUAAACUUUUGAUGAGAUUGUUUCUGUGGCAUGGGUCAAUUUAUUGUACAGCCUUUAGAUAAAAGUAUGGCAUGAUACAAUAGAAUCAGUUUUGUAUGUAUGGUUUUUAGGAAUAACAUUUUAAAAUAUUAGAAUUAUCUGAAACUAUAGCGCUAAUUAAAGUCUCUACGUAUCUUACUCAUGAAGUAAUUGUAAAAUCAACACUUUCUAGAAGCAGAUGUUUUUGGUGACUGAAACUAAUUUGAAAUUCUCAGCUUUUUAAAACGUAGAUUCGUUAUUAUUCUAAAAGUAUUUGUGAAAAUCGAAUCAAUUUUAAAACAUUUGAACUGGCCACGUGUUAUAUUUUAGAACGUGUAUUCAAUAAACACCCAAGUUGAAUUCAGUGUUUGUGCAUGUAAGCCGAUGAACAUGGUUUGCCGCUGGGUUUGUUCUUUAACAACUUUAAAAAUGUGAACCGCCUUUAGUUUUCUCUAAUUAUACUUUGCUAAUAGGAGUCACAAUUUCAUUUAUCUGUAAAACAUACUCAAGAUAGCCUAAUAAAUUAAAGCAAUUCAUCUUAUGCUUA